GACCAUCACCAUGAAGCACCUGACAGGCGGGAUCAUCGCCGUCAUCGUGGUGGUGGUGCUGGCUGUGAUUGCUGGCCUGCUGGCUGUGUUCUUUUUCCAGAAGCGACAGAGGAAGUACAAAAAAACUCAGCAAAGAGAGAUGGAGCAAAUGUAAAGCAGAGAGAGUGUGACGAGUCGACGCAUACAAUCGCCUUUUUUGGAUUACCUUGUUUUUUUUUCUUCGCUGUGGGAGCGUGCCAUUUUUAUCUUUUGAGACUUGCAGAUUGUAAAUGAAUAAUCGCCUUUUUUCUUUGUUGGGGUGUCAUUACUGCUACAAUUUAUUUAUAAAUCAUGUAAAGUCUUAAAGCAUCAUCCCUCUGGUCUACAUGCCAUAUAAGUACUGUGCAUUUUUAAAGUGUGCCUGACAUGCCUCAUUUUAACAUUAGAAUUUAAAUUCCACAUCAUAGAGUGUACAGUUUCUUACUUUCUAUUGUGUUUGUUUGGAUUGUUUUUAAUAAAACAUGCUUUAAAAGACA